UACGGAGGGUGCAAGCGUUGCUCGGAAUUAUUGGGCGUAAAGGGUAGGUAGGUGGUCUUAUUUGUCUGGGGUGAAAUCCUUGAGCUUAACUCAAGAAGUGCCUCAGAAACGGUGAGACUAGAGUCCUAGAGAGGGUCGUGGAAUUCCCGGUGUAGCGGUGAAAUGCGUAGAGAUCGGGAGGAACACCAGAGGCGAAGGCGGCGACCUGGAUAGGUACUGACACUAAACUACGAAAGCGUGGGGAGCAAACAG
rnacentral:rRNA from 1 species